UAUCAGGGACAAUCUAGACAUGUGUGACAAUACUGAACAUGUCACAUGACUCACCUUAAACAUCAUGUGAUCCACUCUCAGUCUGCACUUUCAUUCAUGACUUCAACAGGUUGAAAUGAGCUUUGAACAAACAUCAGUUUAGUGCUGAAAUAUUUAAACGCUGCAGGAAGAAGAACAACAAAGUUAUGACAAAUGUUUGUGCUUCAAACAAGCAGAAAUAAAUCACUUUUGGAUAACCUGCCAGAGAUUUGGGAAUUUCCAAGAUGCACUAGAAUGCAGCACAGAGUGUGAUUGUUUCGGUGUCCUCAGAUGCCUCUGUGGGUGUUUCCUUCCUGUUCAAACUUUAAUUUCACUUUCCUGAACUCCAUGUUUGUGACUGACGCUGUGAAGGGUACAAACAGGAUUGUUUGGUCUCAGUCAGACUGCAAGGACUCACACAAACACUGGUGAUCGAUCACCUGAAUUCAUCUCAUCACUGUUGAAGGCAUGAAAUGAGCAAAGGGAAGUUUAAGUGAAAAAAGCUGCAGAGCCUUUUGAAGGAAACUUUUUAGAAAAAGUCUCUCUUAUUGGAAAAGUCCCACAGGAACUGUAACACGAUCAGUGGACAACAUGAUGGUGUUUGUAUCACGUUUACUGUCUUCAGCCACAAACUCACUGAUGUACAAACAGAGAUGCUCCCACAGACAGAAACACGUUCUUCUCUCUCUUUUUGUUCUUUAGUUUGCAGACACCAUGGGUCCUCGGCAGUCCACCAUUCAUAUUACGAACAAGACUCGGGGCUACACCCUUCAAAACCCCAGUCUGCAUCUUGUUAGCGGACUCUGCCAAAUCCCUUUGCCAACAAAACUUGGGCCUUCUGAAUGUGGCAACGCUCUGUUCUCUAAGACUGGCGGCACAGCGCGUGGAUCUGUUGGAGUCUUCACCUACGAUCUCUACGAUGCAGCUGCAGACAGAGUUGAUAAGAAAAUAGGUGUCAUGUUCUCUGUUCCUUUUGACUACGGCCUGUACUCUAACUGGUACGGCGUCGGAGUCUUUGACAGGGAAACAAACUGUGAUAGUGCUCUUUAUCGUAACAUGUAUCACAGUCCUGAGAGAGGGUUUGUCAGAGGAAAAGCUGAUGGUUAUGAUCUGACUCACAGAGAUAAUUAUAUUAAUGUUACUGUUAAAUCCAGCAUGACAAACUUCAGCGUUGCAACGCUGAAAGUUGAAGUACACAACAGGGAAUAAAGCAAUUAUGCAAAUAUGAGGUCAGAUUUUUUUAGGGCAGAUCUUGAGAAAAGGCCUGAUCACCCUUCAUUAGUAUUAUUUUUACUUAUCAGGAUAAACAGAUAUAAACUCACAGAUAUAAACUUAAGUUAACGCAGGGUUUCCCCAUCUUCCCCAGAAAAUGGUCCUUACAACAUCUACACAAGAGACAUUAGGAAUAGUGACGAAUAAAGGAUCAUGAAUAUAAAAGAAAUACCAGUAAAAUACAAUCCUGUUGUAAAAAGGACAUGCGAUUAAUGAUCAGUAUGGCUGUUUAUUUCACAGGUGUGAUUGGUUGAACAGGUAUUAAGUGUUCCAUGUUUGUGGCAGUGUAACGGACUCAUCAGUAGAUCCCCAGCAGAUAAUGUCACUGAAAAUAUACUUUAAAAGACUCAGUGAAGAAAAAGAAGAAGCUUCAAACUGAUUUUAGACUGAACUCUGGACAUAACCUGCUCCUGACAGUUUAAGUUUAUAUUCUCUCAUCUGCAGCUGUUUGAGAUUGUGAAUCAGCUUCGUAGUACAGAAACUCAGGUUAACCCUGAAAUAACCUGAAUGAGCAAAAUUCUCUGGAGUUAAAACCUUUAGUAGUUUAAAAAUAAAGUUUUAACAUCGAAUCAUUAAAGAUCAGCUGAGCAGGUCACACAUGCUUGCAUAGAUGGGAUGUAAUGAGUUGGAUUAUUGAUGAAAUCAGACUGAAACUCUCCACCAAAUGUUUUUUAGAAAAUCAUCACUAAACUUUGAGGAAGUAAUGGAAGGUUUCAAGGAUUUAAUAAUCUGUUAUUGGUUCUGCUGUAAAUACUUUCUGAGAAACAUGUCAUGGUCCUGAGUCUGACGACUGAGUGUUUUGUGUUUCUUCAUAUCAUCCUAUGUUCUUGUUUAUUGUGUUAUGUCUUUUGUUUGGGUUUGCUAUGUGUUUGGGUUUGUUUAUGCCUGUGUUCCCUCUGUCUGUCCACGGUGUCUGCUUGUAAGUCUGUUAAGUUCAGUGUCUUAUCAGGUCCUCUGUGUCUGUUUCCUGUUUUAUUCUGAAGGUCCUUGUCUCAUGUGGGUGUGUUCAGUUUACGUUUCCCCGUCUUGUUGGGUGUGGUUUCUUCCAGGUGUGUUCCCCUCCUGUUUCCAUUCCCUGAUUACUCCCCUGUGUAUUUAAGCCCUGUGUUUUCCUGUGCUGUCUGUUGCAUCGUACUCUCACGUUACUGUGUUCUGUCUGCUACUUUGUUUUUGUAUUCUCAGUUUAGUUAAGUUCCUGUUCUGUUGCUAUCAGCAAUACAGCUGAGUGUUUUUGAGUUUACGUCUGCCUCCGAGUCCUGCAUUUUGGGUCCUUUCUCCCUGCCUGCACACAGCCAUGACAAAAUACUAAUUUGAUGUUUCCUGUGCAUUAAUUUCAACAUGUGAUUCUUUGUUUUCUGAGCCCUAAACCAAUAAAUAAAUUACACUUUACUUUAA